CAGGGAUUUAGGAUAAUACCAGACCAAGAGCCUUCAAAGCCCUAAGUAGAAGUGAAAAUCUUCUAAUCCCUGA
rnacentral:tRNA from 1 species